rnacentral:tRNA from 1 species
GCUCAGUUGGUUAAGGGUCUGACUUCAGCUUAGGUCAUGAUCUCGCAGUUUGUGGGUUCGAGUCCCUCACUGAGCU